UUGAAACACUCAGUUCCCAUAUGUUUACUGAAGUUAAGCAUCAUUGAGCUUGGUUUGUACCUAGAUGGGUGACCACUUAGGAAUACCAGGUGCUGUAAG